rnacentral:tRNA from 1 species
GCCUGGCUGGCUCAUUCGGUAGAGCACGGGGCUCUUGAUCUCCCGGUUGGUCCCGUUGUGAGUUCAAGCCCCAUGUUGGGUA